rnacentral:rRNA from 1 species
GGCCAUAGAAGGUGAUAGCCCUGUAUCUGAAAGGGCCAUUUCAGUGAAGACGAGUAGGGCGGGGCACGUGAAACCCUGUCUGAACAUGGGGGGACCAUCCUCCAAGGCUAAAUACUACUGACCGACCGAUAGUGAACCAGUACCGUGAGGGAAAGGCGAAAAGAACCCCGGAGAGGGGAGUGAAAUAGAACCUGAAACCGUGUGCGUACAAGCAGUAGGAGCUCCGCAAGGAGUGACUGCGUACCUUUUGUAUAAUGGGUCAGCGACUUACUGUUCGUGGCAAGCUUAACCGUAUAGGGGAGGCGAAGGGAAACCGAGUCUGAUAAGGGCGCAUAGUCGCGGGCAGUAGACCCGAAACCGGGUGAUCUAGUCAUGCCCAGGGUGAAGGUGCGGUAACACGCACUGGAGGCCCGAACCCACUCCCGUUGCAAAGGUAGGGGAUGAGGUGUGAUUAGGAGUGAAAAGCUAAUCGAACCCGGAGAUAGCUGGUUCUCCUCGAAAGCUAUUUAGGUAGCGCCUCAUAUGUAUCCUCUCGGGGGUAGAGCACUGUUAUGGCUAGGGGGUCAUCGCGACUUACCAAACCAUUGCAAACUCCGAAUACCGAGACGGACUGUAUGGGAGACACACGGCGGGUGCUAACGUCCGUCGUGAAAAGGGAAACAACCCAGACCCACAGCUAAGGUCCCAAAUUUUGUGCUAAGUGGAAAACCAUGUGGAAAGGCACAGACAGCCAGGAGGUUGGCUUAGAAGCAGCCACCCUUUAAAGAAAGCGUAAUAGCUCACUGGUCGAGUCGGUCUGCGGGGAAGAUUUAACGGGGCUAAGCACAGAACCGAAGCUUGGGGUGCAUACUUUGUAUGCGCGGUAGAGGAGCGUUCCGUAAGCCGUUGAAGGUGGAUUGAGAAGUCUGCUGGAGGUAUCGGAAGUGCGAAUGCUGACAUGAGUAACGAUAAUGCGGGUGAAAAACCCGCACGCCGAAAGCCCAAGGUUUCCUUGCGCAACGUUAAUCGGCGCAGGGUGAGUCGGCCCCUAAGGCGAGGACGAAAGUCGUAGUCGAUGGGAAGCAGGUUAAUAUUCCUGCACCUCGCGUAAGUGCGAUGGAGGGACGGAGAAGGUUAGGUGUACCAGGCGUUGGUUGUCCUGGGGAAAGGCGGUAGGUUUGGAUCUUUGGCAAAUCCGGGAUCCU